rnacentral:rRNA from 1 species
AGCAGCAGCCGCGGGAAUACCGAGGGUGCGAGCGUUAAUCGGAUUUACUGGGCGUAAAGCGUGCGUAGGCGGCUUCUUAAGUCGGAUGUGAAAUCCCUGAGCUUAACUUAGGAAUUGCAUUCGAUACUGGGAAGCUAGAGUAUGGGAGAGGAUGGUAGAAUUCCAGGUGUAGCGGUGAAAUGCGUAGAGAUCUGGAGGAAUACCGAUGGCGAAGGCAGCCAUCUGGCCUAAUACUGACGCUGAGGUACGAAAGCAUGGGGAGCAAACAGGAUUAGAUACCCCUGUAGUCCCUGUCUCUUAUAA